UUGUUAGAGGAUACACAUGAGAUGUU
rnacentral:snRNA from 1 species